rnacentral:rRNA from 1 species
GAUGAACGCUAGCUACAGGCUUAACACAUGCAAGUCGAGGGGAAACGAUAUUGGAAGCUUGCUUCCGAUAGGCGUCGACCGGCGCACGGGUGAGUAACGCGUAUCCAACCUGCCCACCACUUGGGGAUAACCUUGCGAAAGUAAGACUAAUACCCAAUGAUAUCUCUAGAAGACAUCUGAAGGAGAUUAAAGAUUUAUCGGUGAUGGAUGGGGAUGCGUCUGAUUAGCUUGUUGGCGGGGUAACGGCCCACCAAGGCGACGAUCAGUAGGGGUGCUGAGAGGAAGGUCCCCCACAUUGGAAAUUGGGUACGGUCCAAACUCCUACGGGAGGCAGCAGUGAGGAAUAUUGGUCAAUGGGCGAGAGCCUGAACCAGCAAAGUAGCGUGCAGGAUGACGGCCCUAUGGGUUGUAAACUGCUUUUAUAAGGGAAUAAAGUGAGCCUCGUGAGGCUUUUUGCAUGUACCUUAUGAAUAAGGACCGGCUAAUUCCGUGCCAGCAGCCGCCGUAA